GCGCUGCUGAUGAGUCCCACAUAGGGCGAAACAGCCGUUCAGUGC
rnacentral:hammerhead_ribozyme from 1 species